AACGAACGCUGGCGGCAUGCCUAACACAUGCAAGUCGAACGAGACCCUCGGGUCUAGUGGCGCACGGGUGCGUAACGCGUGGGAACCUGCCCUUAGGUUCGGAAUAACUCCCCGAAAGGGGUGCUAAUACCGGAUAAUGUCUUCCGACCAAAGAUUUAUCGCCUUUGGAUGGGCCCGCGUUGUAUUAGCUAGUUGUUAGGGUAAAAGCCUACCAAGGCGACGAUCCAUAGCUGGUCUGAGAGGAUGAUCAGCCACACUGGGACUGAGACACGGCCCAGACUCCUACGGGAGGCAGCAGUGGGGAAUAUUGGACAAUGGGCGGAAGGCUGAACCAGCAAUGCCGGGUGAGUGAAGAAGGCCUUAGGGUUGUAAAGCUCUUUUACCCGGGAUGAUAAUGACAGUACCGGGAGAAUGAGCUCCGGCUAACUCCGUG
rnacentral:rRNA from 1 species